rnacentral:rRNA from 1 species
GUCUAUGGCCAUACCACCUUAACCGAUGAUCUUGUCUGAUCUCGAAAACGAAGCAGGGUCAGGACUGGUGUUUACAUGGAUGGGAGACGCGCUGGAAAUAACGCGUGCUGUAGGCU